UACGAAGGGGGCUAGCGUUGCUCGGAAUCACUGGGCGUAAAGCGCACGUAGGCGGCUCUUUAAGUCAGGGGUGAAAUCCCAAGGCUCAACCUUGGAACUGCCUUUGAUACUGGGGAUCUCGAGUCCGGAAGAGGUUGGUGGAACUGCGAGUGUAGAGGUGAAAUUCGUAGAUAUUCGCAAGAACACCAGUGGCGAAGGCGGCCAACUGGUCCGGUACUGACGCUGAGGUGCGAAAGCGUGGGGAGCAAACAGG
rnacentral:rRNA from 1 species